GACGAACGCUGGCGGCGUGCCUAAUACAUGCAAGUAGAACGCUGAAGGAGGAGCUUGCUUCUCCGGAUGAGUUGCGAACGGGUGAGUAACGCGUAGGUAACCUGCCUGGUAGCGGGGGAUAACUAUUGGAAACGAUAGCUAAUACCGCAUAACAGUAGAUAUUGCAUGAUAUCUGCUUGAAAGGUGCAAUUGCAUCACUACCAGAUGGACCUGCGUUGUAUUAGCUAGUUGGUGAGGUAACGGCUCACCAAGGCGACGAUACAUAGCCGACCUGAGAGGGUGAUCGGCCACACUGGGACUGAGACACGGCCCAGACUCCUACGGGGGGCAGCAGUAGGGAAUCUUCGGCAAUGGACGGAAGUCUGACCGAGCAACGCCGCGUGAGUGAAGAAGGUUUUCGGAUCGUAAAGCUCUGUUGUAAGAGAAGAACGAGUGUGAGAGUGGAAAGUUCACACUGUGACGGUAUCUUACCAGAAAGGGACGGCUAACUACGUG
rnacentral:rRNA from 1 species